GGGGUCUGGAGCAGAUUAAUCACAUUUACAUUAAUUCUUAUGGGAAACGUUGAUUUGGUCCUCGAACAAAUGGGAACUUGAACAGCCUUCUGGAACAGAUUAAGUUUCAGUUCCGAGGUUCCUCUGUAAUAAUUUGUACAGUCCUAUUUGUCCAGCAUGAAAUAUUCCAGUGUAUAAUCUUAUCACCAUUGUGUCAGGUAUUGGAAAUACCAUCCCUAUAAUAAC